AAUAAAGUUCCUACUUUCUUCCACCACCCCCGGUGUCAGAGAUUGGCUUGCUACGCAAUGGGAGAGAAGCUGUCCUAAGGAGCUUCUUUGAGACCCUCUGUGUGUGAGUAAAAGAAGUGAAGUUCUCAGAAGGUGACCAUGUGCUGCCUGGUCCUGGGUCUCUCCUCAGGAUGUCCAGGUGAAUUGUAUGGCGUGUGAAUUGUAUCUCAAUGCAGCUGUUUAAUAGAGAAAAGAAUGCAGUCGCAUGCUACUACAGGACUGGAUCAUGGAGCAGGAGGAUUGUGUCCUGCACAACAUGGAUGGACCUUGAAACAUUCUGCUGAGUGAAAGAAGUCAGUCACAUUGUAAGAUUCUGUUUAUACAAAAUGUCCAAAUUAGGCAAAUCCACAGAGACAGAAAGUAGGUUCAAGGCUGCCCAGGGCUGGGGAGGUGGGAGGGAUGGAGGUUGGCAGCUGAAGGGUCCGGGUUUCUUUUGGAGGUGGUUACAAUGUUCUAAAAUUGAUGGUGGUGAUGGUUGCACAACUCUGUGAACGUACUAAACACCAUUGGAUUGUCCACCACUUUAAAUGGGUGAAUUGUAUGGGAUGUAAAUUAUAUCUCAAGAAAACUGUUACCAAAAAAACACGUUAUUUGAACCAAAUUAUGUAAAAAGAAAAUAUGUGAAUGUACAUACACAGAAAAAAAAAGACCAAAAGAACCCCUGGCAUGUUAACAAUGUUUACCUCUAGGUUGUGAGUUUAUGUAUUUCUUCUUUAUAUUUUUCUGCAUUUUAUGCACUUUCUACUCUAAGUAUGCGUACUUUUAGAAUCAGAAAAAUAAAUGGUAUUUAACACAACAUGAUACAGGCUACAGUUCAGUAAUGUCCAUGGCAUGGUUGGAUCCCUGAGGAAAGAGGGUGCUAAUGAGUGAAUUUUGUCACCCCACAGUUCAUGCGUUGAGGCCUGAACACCCAGUGUGACUCUACUUGGAGACAGGAAGUAGUUAAGGUUAAAUGAGGCCAUAAGGACGGGGCCCUGACCCGAGAGCAUUAGUGUCCUUAUCAGAGGAAGCACCAGAAAGCUUGCUCUCUUGCCCUCACCCACGUGAGCACAGCAAGAAGACAGCCCUCUGUGGGCCAGAAAGAGAGGCCUCACCAGAAAACAACCCUCCUGGACCUGGAUCCAGGACUCCUGGCCUCUGGAAGUAUGAGAUGUUGACUGAGGAAAAAUCCACUACACUUCAAAUAGCAGAUAUUUAUUUGGGCAAUUAAAAUUGCAGCUCAGGAGACACAGAUUCAGGCAGAAAAUCAAACUGUGUUCUGAGGAAAACAAGGACGUAAGGGUCUAUAAAGGCAAGAAGAGAAAAAUUACACAGGUCGUUUGCUAAAUUUGUGAUUGGUGCUGGCAACAACUGUUACUUCUUGGCUGUAUGUGAUCACUUGCUAAAGCCAUCUCUAAGGCAGGAAGUUCUUAUCUUUGAGAGUAAGCGUAUUUCGUGAAAGAAGGUCAAGAUGACAACAGAGAAGCACAGCUCAAAAGUUAACAUUCCCUCUGGUAGAGACGUGGUGUGCCUGCAUGAGCCCCAUUUCCUUAAUGGCCUCCCAGCUCCAUUUUAGAAUCCUUAGCGUAUGUUACUCCAUUUUGUUCUCACUGUCCACAUUUCCCCUUCUCAUCAAGAUCUUGCAGCAGAAUCCGUCUCGGAUCAACUGUUCGAUAUGUUGAUAUUUCCCUCAUUCCUAGAAAUGUUAUUUUCUGGAAAGUCAUGUCCCUUGUCUGGGGGAGGCCACAUGCUCAAUCUUCCAUAGGAGAAAUGCAGUCAGAGGCUCUGGUGGCAUCUGAACAAUAAGGAGGUGAUCAAGAAAUGAGUCUUAGGCACUGUCUCUAUCUGGAAAAAUAUCAAGUCCUUUGGAGUUUGAAGACUGGUUGAUGAUCUCAAGUCACUGAGCAAUCAUUGUUCUGGAGGUAGACAGACACACAGCAUCGAGAAAUGCAAGUCAUUCGUAGCUUGAAGGUGACAAAGAUCAUGCAAAUCAGAACAAUAAUCAUUAGUAUAACUUGGAGCAGAUCUGAGGCAGUAGUAGCAUAAGAAGCUUAAAUACAAGUACACAUAGCACAAUUCUAAUAAUCAUCGUAAACAAUACCUGACAUCCUGAUCUCCUCUAAGUACCUACACCAGGAAGCCAGACGAAAACAUCAAUAGAGAAUCACAGGGUGUCAUUAAAAGACACUGGACGGGAGACAUCCUGUGAUAUUAUUAUGAUUUUUCAAGUUCUAACUGAACUUCACCAGAAGAGUUUAUGCAGGUUCGGCAGGAGGUUUUGGCUACAACACAGAUGCCACCCUGUCCUGCAAGGAGAUACUGAGUGCCAUUCAGUUAUCUAAUACAGCCCUCACUAAAGAAUUGGAUUGUUGUUGAGUGAAGGCUCGAAUGGUAGAAUUUGCCAGUUUAACUAGGGUUAGGGAUACGUUUUUUCUCAACAGGUCAUUAUGAACGACAUCAACCCAAAGAACAAAGCCUUUCACAGUGGUAAUCAAUGACAGUAGCUGGGGUGUAAAACAGGGUCGCCUAGUCUCUCCUAGACUAUGAGAUUGCAGUUGGGUUUCUUCUUUAACAAGAACUUGCAAUGGAAUAUUAUGAUAUCCUAAAAGGCGUUGUCCUGCCAUAUGCCAGCUGGCUAGACAUUCAUAAGCCCAUGGUUCCCCACAGUAAUCACAAAGGUCUACCCAAAGGGGCACGUAGAAUGCAAUGACUUCUAGUUCUGCAGCGGUGUCAGUGGUCAAGAGCACUUGCUAAGGUCCUUUCCAACGGGGCUUGAGGGCUGUCUUCCUCUGAUGAUGCUUCCAGAAUACCCAGUACCAGGCUGUAGAUUAUGACCAACAGGAUCCUUUAAAUUGGAAUCCAGGAAAGCAUCUUUAACCUGUUGAUAAUGUUCUGGGGAUAAGACAGUAGAGACUCACAGAAGCUGGUCACACUCACAUGAGACAAAAGGGGAGCAGCAGAAGGUUGUGGAACAACAGACACUCAUCUGCUGACGACUGUCUCAUACGUAAUACCUUAGGCCAGGGGAGUGUAGUCCACAGCCAUGGAACAAACCUCAAAGACGGUUAACAGGACUAGAAUCUAUUGUCUACAAAGAUGCAAACAUAAUUUUUCUCUCCAUAAUUACUCUCAAAUUUUUUUUGUCAAAGAUAAUCAUGGUAAAACUAAUUGUUUAUAUUAAAAACUAGGCCUGAAUAUUCAUACAAGUGAAAAUAAGAAUACUGAGAGUUUCUGAAUUCUGGAGGGAUCAGGAAGGGAGAAAAGGUAAAUGUUUCAUCUUUGUUUACAUAGGAGUGUGUUACCAAAUAGUUGAUAGAUUAAGAGAAAAGAUUUCUUUAAAUCUGGAAAAACAAAACAUUAGACCAUCUUUCUCAGCUCAUGUGGUCUCAUGUAAUUUACUAUUUCUUCUGCUUGAAUUCAGUUUUUCCAUUAGUUUUCUCGACUUUGCCUGAUGAUUGAGGAUGAUCGGAACAGUGAAAUUCCAAGAAGUUUGAAAGGCUUUCGUCAAGGUUCAUAUGAUUUGCCCAGUGAAGUGGGUGCCUGGAGAUUGUGGAAGGUACAUCCCAAGUGGGAAGCUCGUAUUCUAGCAGUUUCUCUGCCAUUGUGAGGGCAUCAGCUUUGUGGCAAAGGAAAGGCUUUAACCCAUCCGGGAAACACAGACAACAACAAGAACAUAUUGAUGAGCCGUAGGAAGUGGCAGCUGACUGAAGUCCAGCUUCAGGUGCUCAAAGGACCCCCAGGGAAGAGUUCUGAGGCCUCUGGGGACGGAAAUAGCUUUUCUUAAUGUGGGUGAAGAAAUGUAAAAACUGAAAAAUGAGAUUUGCCAGGGAGCUGGGAAGAGCCCAGGAGCUGUCUUGGAUUUUCCAUAGUCCUGACUGUUGAAUUUACAGCGAUUGUUCACCCACCUUAAUUUCUCUGCUUCAGGAGCAGACUGUUGCCCUGUUAUAAAGACCUCAGGAUGGCAAAAGUCUGGCAAUGAGGGACUGUUCUUUGCAGAGUCUGAAUGGACUUCAUCCACACAUGCCAACCUUUACAAAUUCUGUGGUUGCUGCCUUUAUGUGAAAAUCAGCUAAAGAGCUUUCCUGAUAUUUAGUGCAAACCUCAAUUUUGAUGACAGCAGCAUUUUAUUCCAGGACAUAUUAGACUCCCAGGAAUUUCACAUAAUUUCUGGACCUCUUA